GCUUAACACAUGCAAGUCGAGCGAGAAUCGUUUUGCUGAAGGCUUCGGUCUGAAGCAGAAUGAGGAAGGCGGCGAACGGGUGAGUAACGCGUGGGCAACCUGGCCUUAAGAAAAGGAUAGCCCCCGGAAACGGGGAGUAAUACUUUAUGAGAAUAGAAAAGGGCAUCCUAUUUCUAUUCAAAGCGCAAGCGCUUAAGGAUGGGCCCGCGUAUCAUUAGCUAGUUGGUGAGAUAACAGCCCACCAAGGCAACGAUGAUUAGCCGGUCUGAGAGGGCGAACGGCCACAUUGGAACUGAGAGACGGUCCAAACUCCUACGGGAGGCAGCAGUGGGGAAUAUUGCGCAAUGGAGAAGAACUCUGACGCAGCAAUACCGCGUGAGCGAAGAAGGUCUUCGGAUCGUAAAGCUCUGUUAUCAGGGAAGAAGAAAAUGACGGUACCUGAUGAGCAAGUCCCGGCUAACUACGUGCCAGCCGCCGCGGUAAUAC
rnacentral:rRNA from 1 species